CAAAAUCAACAUGGGAAAAUUGCCAUGAUUUUUUCCCACAAAUGAGAUAAUUUUCUAGUUUUCUGUUCCAAUCGACAAUAAUUAAUUGACUGCCAUCAGGAUAAUACUGGAUAUUUUCACCUGUAAAGUGGUACAUAUAUUAUAGAAAAUGUACAAGUUUUUAGGAAAAGGAGAAAUUAAAAUAUAGAACAGAAAUAAUGCAUCGAGAGCAGGACGGAAAAAAGGAAUUGCUUAUAUGCUAUAACUGAUGUUUGCUGGUCGAAUCUAACAAAACGUAAUUUGAUGUGUCAGCAAAUAAUUAGCUGCGCGCCACAAUAAACUUUUUCUAUGCGAGAGGAACAUCAGGUAACCUUAAAUAUAGAUGUCUUGUUGAAGAUAAUAUAUAGUUUCUCUGCGAAAUCUGAUAUCCUUUUGCCAGUAUAAGAAUAGAAAGAAAAAUAUAAACCUGGCUUCUGGUUCUUGUUGUAUUUGCUCAAUUUACAGUUACAUAAUUC